rnacentral:rRNA from 1 species
CAGUAGCAUAUAUUAAAGUUGCUGCAGUUAAAACGCUCGUAGUUGGAUUUCAGGACGUCAGGCCUGCGGACCACUGGAAGUUUUCUAGUGUGUGCGAUGUUUGAGGUGUGGUGUUUGUUGGGAACUUUUGUUCUUGACAGGCCCUGUGCUGAGUCGCCGUUGUCUGCGCCUCGUGCGUCCUACGCUGUGUGGGUUUUGUCUCUUCGGAGAUAGGAUACCGCACCAGAUACCUUGAGGAAAUUGGAGUGUUCAAGGCAAGCGAUUAUAUCGCGAUUGACCACUGAAGCAUGGAAUAUCGACCAUGACUCUUGUCACGGUUCGUUGGUUUCACGGCACGAGUAAUGAUUAAUAGGAGCGGUCGGGGCCAUUGGUAUGCUUGCGUGAGAGGUGAAAUUUUUAGACCGCAGGCAGACCAACUACUGCGAAAGCAUUUGGCAAGGACGCUUUCAUUA